CGUGAACAACAUGGCUGCCUCCAAAAGCAGUGUUAGCGACGGAUCACCCAUUCGACAAGCCAGAUAGACAAUGCACGUCCUGACACAUAUUACAGGGACUCACAAAGUCACAUGAACCAGGCAAGGGGGUUACUGGAGUCAGAGGAUUCCAUAAAGUCAAUGAAGAAAGGCUCAGUGGACUUGUGAGACUGGGAAAGAGUACAAAAACAAAUUUGUGAAGUGCAAAUUCUCAGUCAACUGUUGAUGUCAGCAUGUCUGUACAGAAAAAUAAUGCAAUUAAAAUGCUGAAUUAUUUUAACAGGAAAAAAUUAAAA